AGUGAACGCUGGCGGUAGGCCUAACACAUGCAAGUCGAACGGCAGCACAGUAAGAGCUUGCUCUUACGGGUGGCGAGUGGCGGACGAGUGAGGAAUACAUCGGAAUCUACUUUUUCGUGGGGGAUAACGUAGGGAAACUUACGCUAAUACCGCAUACGACCUACGGGUGAAAGCAGGGGAUCUUCGGACCUUGCGCGAUUGAAUGAGCCGAUGUCGGAUUAGCUAGUUGGCGGGGUAAAGGCCCACCAAGGCGACGAUCCGUAGCUGGUCUGAGAGGAUGAUCGGCCACACUGGAACUGAGACACGGUCCAGACUCCUACGGGAGGCAGCAGUGGGGAAUAGUGGGCAAUGGGCGCAAGCCUGAUCCAGCCAUACCGCGUGGGUGAAGAAGGCCUUCGGGUUGUAAAGCCCUUUUGUUGGGAAAGAAAAGCAGCAGGUUAAUACCCCGCUGUUCUGACGGUACCCAAAGAAUAAGCACCGGCUAACUUCGUG
rnacentral:rRNA from 1 species